GACGAACGCUGGCGGCGUGCUUAACACAUGCAAGUCGAACGGAAAGGCCCUGCUUUUGUGGGGUGCUCGAGUGGCGAACGGGUGAGUAACACGUGAGUAACCUGCCCUUGACUUUGGGAUAACUUCAGGAAACUGGGGCUAAUACCGGAUAGGAGCUCCUGAUGCAUGGUGGGGGUUGGAAAGUUUCGGCGGUUGGGGAUGGACUCGCGGCUUAUCAGCUUGUUGGUGGGGUAGUGGCUUACCAAGGCUUUGACGGGUAGCCGGCCUGAGAGGGUGACCGGCCACAUUGGGACUGAGGUACGGCCCAGACUCCUACGGGAGGCAGCAGUGGGGAAUAUUGCACAAUGGGCGGAAGCCUGAUGCAGCAACGCCGCGUGCGGGAUGACGGCCUUCGGGUUGUAAACCGCUUUCGCCUGUGACGAAGCGUGAGUGACGGUAAUGGGUAAAGAAGCACCGGCUAACUACGUG
rnacentral:rRNA from 1 species